UGAGGAAUAUUGGGCAAUGCCCGCAAGGGUGACCCAGCAACGCCGCGUGGAGGAUGAAUGUCGUAAGAUUGUAAACUCCUGUUAGAGGGGAAGAAUAGUACCGGUUGGACCGGUAUAUGACUGUACCCUCAGAGAAAGCGCCGGCUAACUACGUGCCAGCAGCCGCGGUAAUGCGUAGGGGGCAAGCGUUGUCCGGAUUUACUGGGUGUAAAGGGCGCGCAGGCGGGAUAAAAAGUCAGUGGUGAAAUCCUACAGCUUAACUGUAGAACGGCCUUUGAUACGUUUAUUCUUGCGUCCGGGAGAGAGAGACGGAAUGCCAGGUGUAGUGGUGAAAGACGUAGAUAUCUGGAAGAACACCAGUUGCGAAGGCGGUCUCUUGGUCCGACACUGACGCGGAGGCUCGAAAGCGUGGGGAGCAAACA
rnacentral:rRNA from 1 species